rnacentral:lncRNA from 1 species
AUGAUCUCUUCUUUUUCUUCAUCUAUAUCACAAAUAACAAGGCAAUUUUUGCUGUUUACACUCUGUUCAGGCGAGGUUUCAGCCCGCACUGUACAAAUGUUGCCUUCUCGUUUUUCUUCUGGACUGCGACUGGAGGUCGAGCCCUGGCAUCGGCCGACUAACCUAACCUGUACCUGUAAAUGUCAAGACAUUUACAGGUACAAAUAUCAAAAGGAGUUUCGUUUUGUCUUUAAAUGCAUCAACUCCAUUUUGGACUGCAGCAUUUGAUCCACAAGAGGUAAAAAUUCUCAUAAUACGCCUAUGCUCCUCGUGAAAUUACAAGAACUUAUCAGAUAUCCUUUUGUCCGAGACAACUGGUAUAGAAGAUUUUGCCCAUCUUUUGCACAUCUUCAUAUGUCGGUAACAUCAAAAAUUAAGUUCUUGGGGUGAUCCCAAUAAGGACAGGUCGCCUUUUUAUGCGAAUUUAGAUCACUUGACAUUUUGAAGCGAAAAUAUUGCGAUAUUAUCUCGUGCACUAUUUUCUACAUAAUUAACAGCACUUACGUGUGAAAAACUUUGUGUUCCUAUCAUGAUUGACCAAAGCUGGCAUGAGGAACACUUUUACACAUAAACAAAUACCUAUUAAAUUAACGAUUUAAAGGUUUUGAGAACCUACCUUUUUCCUCUCACAUUCCGCACAGCGGGUAUCAGGGACCUUGAACUUUGGUAAAACUCCUUGAGUAUUUCCGGAUCUACUUCGGCAGAUUUCUAUCGUCUGCUUUCCGAAAACCGUUAAAAACGCCUUUAGGCAAAAUCAAGUGGAAAAUCAAUGGGAAUCAAUUGGGGAAAAUCAAUAGUGUUUCCAGGGUCUCAUGCGUAGUGACGUAUUUUCGCAGCAGCCAAUGAGAAUCCGUCAUUUCCACGUGCGAUUUUAUCGAACUUUGGCGAGCUUUUUCGGGCUUUAGGACUCGAUGCUGGAUGGGCUUUCUUCAAUAAUCUUCGAAUUUUCUUCGCAAUCGUGUCCGGUUUGGCGUUGACCUCGUGUAUCGCUUGCAAUGCCCUCUUCCUCAGAACUUCCACUAACUUCCGGUCCUUCUUGGUCCAGGCCAUCAAAGCCCGGAGCUCGGCAUGCUUCCAAUGAUCCUUCGGCUGGAUUCCUUGCACUUCCUCGGUCCUGGUGACGUUUAUCUGAACAAUGUAGUCUGAUGGAUCGCCUGUCGAUAUGAAUUGAUACGUUUUCGUUUUUUUUCCUGUACGAAAUAUUUUGGGAGGUUGUUCCAUCUGUCUGCAGAGAACGUUUCUUUUUUGAAUAUCUGGCGAACACGGCGUCCUCCGAAUCUUGAGUCGGAUCCUGUUGGAGACGCCGCAAUUGCAUGUUGACUUUCGAAAUGAGCAGAAGUGGACGCAGCGGAUGUGCUGGCCAGAGGUUGCGAUGAGGGAGUUGGUAGUUUUUUGGGUGUCGUCGUGUAAAGCCUUAAAAAGGCCUUUUUCACCGAGGCUCCAAUCUCCAGAGUGGUAAACUUCGUGGAUAACUCUUUUUUCUGGAGGUGCUGAAACAAAGAGUCGAUUCCAAGAUGUCUCGACUGCUUGGGAAAAGUUCCUUUGAUGACUUUCUUCACUAGUAACGAAAUCUCUGUCCAUUUGUAUUCCAUUUGUCCGUCCGCGAUGUUCUUCUGAUUCUCUUCCAGCCAUAGACCUACUUCUUUCAUUGUCCGUAAAAGAGGUACUAGGCCCUGGUCUGUCAAUUCUGAUGCUUCCUGAAUUAAUAGCGUCAGGGGACAACCCUGCAAUUGGUCCAGUGUGACGUGCGUUCGUGUGUAGAUGGACGUCGCCAUCGUUUUUCUCGCUAAGAAAUCUAGCGGAAUAUUUUUUUUCCCUGAAAUCCCCACCCUUGCAACAACCCCAUCGUAAAUCUCUUCCGUCUCAUAAAUGUCUGAAAUUUCCGGAAAUAUUUCAAAAGAAAUAUCAAUAUUUUUCAUGAAAUUUUGCCACUCAUGUCGUGACGAUAAUCAAUCUUAAGCAUGAUCACCCCCAAAAAAACCUAACUACUCAAAAAACUACACGGUUUAUAUUAAAAAAUAUUACUAUGUGUGCUGUUGGGCGUGAAACCACUAUUCGACCUUCUAGGAGCUCGGUGUGCCUAUUCAAUAAAUUGAAGGCGUUUUAAUUGCCGUCGCGGCACGCUGAACUCCUAUGAACUACCGUGGUUCAUAAUACGUUUAUUCCGGACUUUUUCGCAUAAGAUUUGUAAAAGCGCUGCCACUCUGUGUGUGUCGAAUGAAAUCUGCACGUUGCCAAAUUUUCUGGAAUAUUUUACGAAUUUUUGAAAAACUGUUGUUUUUUGGUUUUUUCUCGAAACUUUAUGUAAAGAAAACUUAACUCAUAAUUUGAUCUGGAUAUACUUGAAGAAAAUUUCAAAUUAAUUCAUUAAAACUACAUAAUAAUUUUGCCAAAAAACUAUACGGUACAUAAUGCAAAAAUCGUAUUAUGUGUGGUGUUGGGCGUGAUACCACUAUUCGACCUUCUAGGAGCACGAUGUGCCUAUUCAAUCAAUUGAAGGCGUUUUAAUCUGCCGUCACGGCACGCUAAACUCCUACGAACUAUCAGGGUCAACAGAUGAGUGCAAUGCAACAAACGAAUUGAAAAUUGGUAUGACCAUUACAUGGCCAUCACAUUUGCAAUAAGGAACUACUAUUUCUGGCCCAUUUUAGAAUCAACAUACAUGCCAUUGGUUUCCCUGCGCAGAUGUGUGCUUUUAUGGGAGAGCCAGAGAUGGUGGUUCCUUAUUGCAAAAUGCAAUCCACAUAAAACAUGUGUUAAGUUGUUUCAGCCCGCUCUAGUUGUGUUCAUGACCACUUUAAAUAUAAAUAGCAAUGGCGUGUGUUAAGAACUAUGUAGAAUUGUGAAAGUUAAUUAUCAUGAUGAAAUCUAAAGGUUGUUAUAAUCUAUUCCAGCUGACAAUGAAUGUUUUAAGGGUGUGACGUACCCUCAAAACGAAGAGAAAGGGUCUCAAAUUUGCUGCCUUAAAAUUGCAGCCUAUUUUUGUGAACUGGCUGUGUUUUGACCUAUCAUAUCAAGUGUUCUUGUGUUGUCAUUAUUCUUGAAUUGGCAUGCGUCUGAAGUAUCCGAAAAGGAUAUACAAGGCUUUUUAUUCUCAGAACACCCACCAUUUUUGUAAUUAUCAAACGAUGUAUAUUAGCUCAUUCGAGAACGUUCGGUUUUUAAUUCCUUUUAGUCAGUCUGAAUUAUGACUAGUAGUUAGUCCUAAAAUUGUUGAUUUUGUAUAAAAUUAGGUUUAUUUUUAAUUACCACGUUUUGCUCUGUUUUCUCCGUUGUUUUUUUUUCAUUUGCUACUUUUUGUAUUGCCCUCUUUGAUUUUUGAAAAACCUGAAGAUGAAUAAAAAAAUGUUGUUUUAUUUUCCUGUUAAAUGACUUGUUUUUACUU